rnacentral:rRNA from 1 species
UACGAGGGGGGCGAGCGUUGUUCGGAAUUAUUGGGCGUAAAGGGCGCGUAGGCGGUGCGGUAAGUCCCCUGUGAAACCCCCGGGCUCAACUCGGGGCCUGCAGGCGAAACUGCCGUGCUGGAGUGCGGAAGAGGUGAGUGGAAUUCCCGGUGUAGCGGUGAAAUGCGUAGAUAUCAGGAGGAACACCGGUGGUGUAGACGGCUUUCUGGACCGUAACUGACGCUGAAACACGAAAGCGUGGGUAGCAAACAGG